rnacentral:rRNA from 1 species
UGAGGAAUAUUGGACAAUGGAGGCAACUCUGAUCCAGCCAUGCCGCGUGCAGGAAGACGGCCCUAUGGGUUGUAAACUGCUUUUAUACAGGAAGAAACGUUAGUACGUGUACUAGCCUGACGGUACUGUAAGAAUAAGGAUCGGCUAACUCCGUGCCAGCAGCCGCGGUAAUACGGAGGAUCCAAGCGUUAUCCGGAAUCAUUGGGUUUAAAGGGUCCGCAGGCGGUCUAGUAAGUCAGAGGUGAAAUCCUAUCGCUCAACGAUAGAACUGCCUUUGAUACUGUUAGACUUGAGUUAUUGUGAAGUAGUUAGAAUGUGUAGUGUAGCGGUGAAAUGCAUAGAUAUUACACAGAAUACCGAUUGCGAAGGCAGAUUACUAACAAUAUACUGACGCUCAGGGACGAAAGCGUGGGUAGCGAACAGG